AAAUUGAAGAGUUUGAUCAUGGCUCAGAUUGAACGCUGGCGGCAGGCCUAACACAUGCAAGUCGAACGGUAACAGGAAGCAGCUUGCUGCUUUGCUGACGAGUGGCGGACGGGUGAGUAAUGUCUGGGAAACUGCCUGAUGGAGGGGGAUAACUACUGGAAACGGUGGCUAAUACCGCAUAACGUCGCAAGACCAAAGAGGGGGACCUUCGGGCCUCUUGCCAUCAGAUGUGCCCAGAUGGGAUUAGCUUGUUGGUGAGGUAACGGCUCACCAAGGCGACGAUCCCUAGCUGGUCUGAGAGGAUGACCAGCCACACUGGAACUGAGACACGGUCCAGACUCCUACGGGAGGCAGCAGUGGGGAAUAUUGCACAAUGGGCGCAAGCCUGAUGCAGCCAUGCCGCGUGUAUGAAGAAGGCCUUCGGGUUGUAAAGUACUUUCAGCGGGGAGGAAGGUGUUGUGGUUAAUAACCGCAGCAAUUGACGUUACCCGCAGAAGAAGCACCGGCUAACUCCGUGCCAGCAGCCGCGGUAAUACGGAGGGUGCAAGCGUUAAUCGGAAUUACUGGGCGUAAAGCGCACGCAGGCGGUCUGUCAAGUCGGAUGUGAAAUCCCCGGGCUCAACCUGGGAACUGCAUUCGAAACUGGCAGGCUUGAGUCUUGUAGAGGGGGGUAGAAUUCCAGGUGUAGCGGUGAAAUGCGUAGAGAUCUGGAGGAAUACCGGUGGCGAAGGCGGCCCCCUGGACAAAGACUGACGCUCAGGUGCGAAAGCGUGGGGAGCAAACAGGAUUAGAUACCCUGGUAGUCCACGCCGUAAACGAUGUCUACUUGGAGGUUGUGCCCUUGAGGCGUGGCUUCCGGAGCUAACGCGUUAAGUAGACCGCCUGGGGAGUACGGCCGCAAGGUUAAAACUCAAAUGAAUUGACGGGGGCCCGCACAAGCGGUGGAGCAUGUGGUUUAAUUCGAUGCAACGCGAAGAACCUUACCUGGUCUUGACAUCCACGGAAGUUUUCAGAGAUGAGAAUGUGCCUUCGGGAACCGUGAGACAGGUGCUGCAUGGCUGUCGUCAGCUCGUGUUGUGAAAUGUUGGGUUAAGUCCCGCAACGAGCGCAACCCUUAUCCUUUGUUGCCAGCGGUUAGGCCGGGAACUCAAAGGAGACUGCCAGUGAUAAACUGGAGGAAGGUGGGGAUGACGUCAAGUCAUCAUGGCCCUUACGACCAGGGCUACACACGUGCUACAAUGGCGCAUACAAAGAGAAGCGACCUCGCGAGAGCAAGCGGACCUCAUAAAGUGCGUCGUAGUCCGGAUUGGAGUCUGCAACUCGACUCCAUGAAGUCGGAAUCGCUAGUAAUCGUGGAUCAGAAUGCCACGGUGAAUACGUUCCCGGGCCUUGUACACACCGCCCGUCACACCAUGGGAGUGGGUUGCAAAAGAAGUAGGUAGCUUAACCUUCGGGAGGGCGCUUACCACUUUGUGAUUCAUGACUGGGGUGAAGUCGUAACAAGGUAACCGUAGGGGAACCUGCGGUUGGAUCACCUCCUUACCUUAAAGAAGC
rnacentral:rRNA from 5 species